rnacentral:rRNA from 1 species
GUCCACACCGUAAACGUUGGGCGCUAGGUGUGGGGCCUAUUCCAUGGGUUCCGUGCCGCAGCUAACGCAUUAAGCGCCCCGCCUGGGGAGUACGGCCGCAAGGCUAAAACUCAAAGGAAUUGACGGGGGCCCGCACAAGCGGCGGAGCAUGCGGAUUAAUUCGAUGCAACGCGAAGAACCUUACCUGGGUUUGACAUACACCGGAAAGCUGUAGAGAUAUGGCCCCUUUUGUCGGUGUACAGGUGGUGCAUGGCUGUCGU